AACGAACGCUGGCGGCGUGUUUAAGACAUGCAAGUCGCACGGUGUCAUUUUGGUAGCAAUACUUGAAUGGCAUAGUGGCGCACGGGUGAGUAACACGUGAAUUACAUGCCCUGUAGAGGGGGAUAGCCCAGGGAAACUUGGAUUAAUACCCCAUGGUCUCGCAAGAGUAAAGGUGGCCGCAAGGCUUUCGCUACAGGAUUGGUUCGCGCCCUAUCAGCUUGUUGGCGGGGUAACGGCCCACCAAGGCUACGACGGGUACCUGGUCUGAGAGGACGAUCAGGCACACUGGAACUGAGACACGGUCCAGACACCUACGGGUGGCAGCAGUCGAGAAUAAUUCACAAUGGGGGCAACCCUGAUGGUGCAACGCCGCGUGGAGGAUGACGGUCUUCGGAUUGUAAACUCCUGUCAUCCGGGAGUAAGACCUGGCUGUGAAUAGCAGACAGGGUUGAUAGUACCGGAAGAGGAAGGGACGGCUAACUUCGUGCCAGCAGCCGCGGUAAUAC
rnacentral:rRNA from 1 species